rnacentral:rRNA from 1 species
UACGGGGGGGAGCAAGCGUUGUUCGGAUUUACUGGGCGUAAAGGGCGCGUAGGCGGCCACCGCAAGUCGACUGUGAAAUCUCCGGGCUUAACCCGGAAAGGUCAGCCGAUACUGCGGGGCUAGAGUGCAGAAGGGGCAACUGGAAUUCUCGGUGUAGCGGUGAAAUGCGUAGAUAUCAGGAGGAACACCUAUUGCGAAGGCAGCUCGCUGGGACGUAACUGACGCUGAGACGCGAAAGCGUGGGGAGCAAACAGG